rnacentral:tRNA from 1 species
GCCCUAGUGGUGGAAUUGGCAGACACGCUAGACUUAGGAUCUAGUGCCGAAAGGCGUGGGGGUUCGACUCCCUCCUGGGGCACCA